AAAUUUUGAAAUACCCUUGGAUUUGGUCGAUUCUAUCCUCACCUCUUCCUUUAGGAAAACCCAAAUCCUCCUCUAUAUAUCUCUUUCCUAUUCACUAUUUUAGGGGAGUUAGGGGGAUUUUGAUUUUUUAGGCAAAGGAUUUUUUUUGAGUUUCUUAAAAAAAGAGCGAGCAAUUUUUUUCUUUGGAAUUUAACUCCUUCAAGUUUGUUUACAACUAGCUGGAGGACACUGAUACAACUGGAACUUGGGAAAAAGGAGUUUGAUUUUUCUAGUUGAAUUUUUUGUUGGAAAAUCCCUUGAGUAGGAAUGUCAAGAGCUGCUAAGAAAAUAGUAUAGAAACACGAUAAGAUGUUCGAAACAACGUUAUGUUCUAGUUCUCCGUCGAGAUAUCACACAUUCCUUCUAGUUGCGUCGUGUCCUCUCAAACUCCGUUUUAAGUCGAGCUUUGUGGUCGGAAGAUCGUGUUUGUUCUCCAUCUCGCUGCACUCGAAAAGGUAAAACAUCCCUCCGUUUCAUUUUCUUCUCACCCCUAUCUUAGUGUCACAAUAAUUGUUUAAUGCUGAAGAGUUUUGUUACAUGGUUGCUCGCUGUUAAUAUCUGUUAUUUUGUUGACCUAAUUUGUAUUGUUUUCUUAGCCUUUUUGACCAAAUAGAGAUAGUGCUCGUGUUGAAGUAUCGUGAAACCUUGCUUAAUGUUUCCGUCUCUCUAUUUCACUUGGCUUUAAGUUCACGCCAUAUUGUAAAUUUCAUGUCUUCUUUUGACUAAGAUGGAUUUAACAAAAGUCUGGUUUGAUUUAAAUAAUUAAGUUCUAUAGUGUGUUUCUUCCUGCUAUUCGUUUUCUUUUCUUUCAAUUAUUUUGCGUGUAAGCUUGGUCAGAUCCUCGCCUUGAUCAUUUUGGAUACCCUUUCAAGUUUGUUCUUGGUUAAUACACUAUGUCAAGCAAUUUGUAGCAUGUAAUUUAUUUGUUUGUUUGUUUUGUUGAAGAUUUCUAGAAUCAUGAAGGAUGACUACCUCAUUUUGUUUCAACGCGGUACCUCCAUGAUCUUACAUCUUAUUGUUAAUCUAAACAUUUUGUAGUUCACUUGAGUUUUAAGUUCCCAUUUAUUUAUUUUUUUAGGUUUUGGAGUUCAUCCUUGUUAAUGUUUUUAAGUCGUUUGGCUUCUCAAAUGAAAUUGUUUUUUCGGAAAAAUGUCUUGAUUGAUUUGAGUAUUUUGUUCAAAUUAUUACUUUUUUUCUCUCUUUGAUCUUGAAUUCUUCCUUUAAUUCCAUUUGUUGAUAUUUUGUUAAUUAUUCUAGUUACAUACCUUCCUAGAGAGUCGCCUCAUAAUUGAUCUUCAACCCAUAGAGGAGAUUCUAGAUGCAUAAUUACUAAUGAUUAUAAUAACCUAGCUCAACUAGGCAACCUAAGUAUUUUACAUUUCAACGUAACAGCCCAUAAUAUGGCUCCUACUGUUAGUACCAGUAAUCAAGUUUUUUAUUUCUAAACUCCUGAUGAGCACCCUUUACAAAGAGGUGCUAGCUCUCUAAUUAAUUGGUACCUUAGUAUGAAUAAAUAAAUGCCUCUUGUUUUAAAAAAAAAUACUAUCUUACACAAAAGCAAGUGUUUACUGCGCUGGAAUUUUAUUUUAUUUAUAUUAAUGGUGCUUUCCUUAUUAUUAUUCAUUAAUAUUACUUUGUUAUAAAAAUGUCAAAUUACUUUGUCUCAUUUAAUGGGUUUACAUAUAUCUUUUUCUGCACGAUCUUAUUAUUCAUAACAUUUAUUAGCAUUUAUAUUUUACAAUAUCCUUGCUAAAAUUCUCAAUUCUUCUUUUGUUAGUCGUAGUUGUUGCUCAUUUACUAUAGUUUGCUUGAUUCCUUCCCUUAUUAUUCGAGAUGUGUAAUAGAUUGUAGUCUUUAAGUUUUAAGCUUUAAUCCUUUGUUUAGUCCUAAAUACAUGCCUCUUUAGUUGAAAAUGAUGCUUAAAUUAGUUGUAAUUUUUUACGCCUAUGCUUGCUCUAUUUCUUUACUUAAAGUCGUGAAAUUGUUUAACAUCUCUCUUUUAACCAUGUCUCAUUUAUUUCGAGGGAGUAGCAUCAUUUUGUUAAUUGGGUAUACUAUUUUGUUCAUGGGUUUAAAUUCUCAAGUUUAUUCAUUAUUACACGGGGUACUAUUGUCUCUGCAUAUCUUCAUGUUGCAUUUUUUAGAAGAAGACUUAAUUACAUUAGCUUCAAUAGCUCACUCUACUCUUCUUACUGAUAAUUGCUUCCAAAUUAUCAUUUAUGUCUAAAUAAUUUUUGCUAAAUCUACUUCCUCUAGUCACUAUUGGCCUCAUUGUUUAGUUAUCACUACUAUUUGAUGUUUUAUCUUAUUACGUGAAGUUAGUUUGAUUAAAGUGAAAGUUCAUUUAGUAUUGCAUGUUUUACUUUUAACAACUCGGCAGUAAACUAGUCACACAUUUUUUUAUUAUUUUUUAUUUUUGUGAGUUGGUAGAGUUAUAUAGAAUCAAAGUAUACUAUGUUAUUAAUCGCUAUUUUAUUUCAUUCUCUUCUAUGUUGGAAGCGUCUCUCCCGCGUCUCUGGAGACUCUUUCCCUCCCAUUUUGGAAGAAUCAUAAAGACUUAUACUUCCUUCCAUCAAGUCAAUACAUGUAUUAAAUGUACAUGUUUUGAAGAGGAAGAAGUUGAAGAGAUUGGGCCUCAAAGGACCAAAUUCAUUCGAAAGAUUAUUUUUCGGGCAUAUGCCCUUGUCGUAUUUAUUUAUUUAUUUAUUAUUGUAAGAUUAUUUUAGGAUAGGUACAAAAACAACUGGGUCAAAAAACCCAAAAGAAGUGGGUCCAAAUACCGUUCAAGGAAGACAGAUAACCCGAAUUAGGACCAAACUCUCUCCUCUCUCUCUCCUCUUGUAUUCU
rnacentral:lncRNA from 1 species